CCUACGGGUUGCAGCAGUGGGGAAUAUUGCACAAUGGGCGCAAGCCUGAUGCAGCCAUGCCGCGUGUAUGAAGAAGGCCUUCGGGUUGUAAAGUACUUUCAGCGAGGAGGAAGGCGUUAAGGUUAAUAACCUUAGCGAUCGACGUUACUCGCAGAAGAAGCACCGGCUAACUCCGUGCCAGCAGCCGCGGUAAUACGGAGGGUGCAAGCGUUAAUCGGAAUUACUGGGCGUAAAGCGCACGCAGGCGGUCUGUCAAGUCGGAUGUGAAAUCCCCGGGCUCAACCUGGGAACUGCAUUCGAAACUGGCAGGCUAGAGUCCUGUAGAGGGGGGUAGAAUUCCAGGUGUAGCGGUGAAAUGCGUAGAGAUCUGGAGGAAUACCGGUGGCGAAGGCGGCCCCCUGGACAAAGACUGACGCUCAGGUGCGAAAGCGUGGGGAGCAAACAGGAUUAGAUACCCUCGUAG
rnacentral:rRNA from 1 species